GACUUGUCUCCCCUUAAAGAUGUGUUUCAGAACUACAGUGGUAACAGCCAAGAUCCUGAUACCAAAGCAGUGAAUGCCCUUCAGCGUGAGUUGCAGUGUUAAGAACUACACAGACUGGUUGGAAACACCCUGGUUUAUUCAUAGUGGGAAAUACGAAGUUCCUCUGAGCUGCUGCAACAAAAACUUUCACUCCUGCAAUGGGACUUUAGACUCACCCCAGGGCUGUCAAAUUAAACUUGAGGAGAAUUUACUGCUUGCAGUGCACAUCAUCAUUAUAAUAUCUUUAGUGGUUCUCUUUUUGGUAAUUUCUUGGAUUAUAGUGGCACAGCUAGUGAGGCAUCAACCCCCACAAGAGUAUCAAAUCCUGGACCAAGAAUAAAAACGCACUUAUGGAAUUAAAUUCUUGUGAUUUUUCUUCUGAAUGCUUGCACAUUAUAUAUAUAUAUAUAUAUUAUUGUUGAUUACUUUGAUGAUAUAUCAUUCCGUUCAAACUCGUACAAACUAGUGUCUCUUCACAAUACCUGUUCUUCUAGAAAUAUUUUAUAUGCACGCACAG